ACAAUGGACAUAGGACUGGUGGC
rnacentral:piRNA from 1 species